rnacentral:pre_miRNA from 2 species
GUGUGCAUUACAGGGCAACUGCUCCAUUGGCAGAGGGAUGGAUGUUGGCCCCUCUUACUUUGCUCUUUUGUCUAUCUGCCAAAGGAGAUUUGCCCCGCUAUUCACCA